ensembl:snRNA U6 U6 spliceosomal RNA
GUGCUCACUUCGGCAGCACAUGUACUAAAAUUGGAAUGAUACAGAGAUUAGCAUGGCUCCUGUGCAAGGAUGACACGCAAAUUCAUGAAGCAUUCCAUUUAAAA